rnacentral:rRNA from 1 species
AUAUAAAUAGGAUGAAAGUGUGACUUAUCAACUGUCAACCGUGGUAUAUUUGACCACGGUGGUAUUGACGAGUAACAGAGAAUUUGGGUUCGAUUCUGGAGAGGGAGCUUUAAAGAUAGCUACCACAUCUAAGGAAGGCAGCAGGCACGCAAAUUACCCAAUUGUCGAUGACAGAGGUAGUAAUAAUAAAUAACAAUACAGGACUCGUCCGAGGCCUUGUAAUUGGAAUGUUUUUAAGAUAAAGACAUGAAGGAGGAACUAUUAGAGGGCAAGUCUGGUGCCAGCAGCCGCGGUAAUUCCAGCUCUAAUAGCGUAUUUUAAUGUUGUUGCGGUUGAAAAGCUCGUAGUUGGAUAUCAUUGAUUGUAUAAGUUCAAUGUGAAUUGUUCUUAUACAGGAGAGGGAAGUCAAGCGGUGAAAAUAAACUUGAAUGUUUAUAUCCACAUAACGCCUGGCUUAAGUUACUUUGAAUAAAUCAAAGUGCUCAAUACAAGCUUUUGCUUGAAUAUAUGUGCAUGGGAUAACGCAAGAAGAUCAAUAUCGAAUCUGUUGGUUGAAUCGAUAUGGGUAAUGAUUAAUAGAGAUUGACGGGGGCAUUUGUAUUUGAAAGCGAGAGGUGAAAUUCUGUGACCUUUCAAAGACAUGCUAAAGCGAAAGCACGUGCCAAGAAUGUUUUCACUAAUCAAGAACGAAAGUUAGAGGCUCGAAGGCGAUUAGAUACCGCCCUAGUUCUAACCAUAAACAAUGCCAACUAACAAUCUUGUGUAGUUUAAGUUGAAACUAACAAGGAAGUUUUCGGAAAGCCAAAGUUUUUGGGUUCCGGGGGUAGUAUGGUUGCAAAGCUGAAACUUAAAGUAAUUGACGGAGUGGCACCACCAGGAGUGGAGCCUGUGGCUUAAUUUGACCCAACACGGGGAAGCUCACCAGGGCAAGACACUAUUAGGAUUGACAGAUUGAUAGCUCUUUCUCGAUAAAGUGGGUGGUGGUGCAUGGCCGUUCUUAGUUGGUGGAGUGAUUUGUCUGGUUAAUUCCGAUAACGAACGAGACUCUGACCAAUUACUAGUGAAAUCUUUUGAAAAGAAAGUUACCGCAGUAAUGCAGUUUCAUUCGAGUUUUUACUUCUUAAGGGGACACGCUAUUGUGAAUAGCACGAGGAAGAGCAAUAACAGGUCUGUGAUGCCCUUAGAUGUUCUGGGCUGCACACGCGCUACAAUAAAUUAAUCAACAAGUUCUCCGUUUUGACAGAUGCGGGCAAACUUUUGAAAUUAAUCUAUGGUAGGAAUGGGAACUUGCAAUUAUUUUCCCUGAACUAGGAA